UACAGAGGUCUCAAGCGUUGUUCGGAUUCAUUGGGCGUAAAGGGUGCGUAGGCGGCGCGGUAAGUCGGGUGUGAAAUCUUGGAGCUUAACUCCGAAACUGCAUUCGAUACUGCCGUGCUUGAGGACUGGAGAGGAGACUGGAAUUUACGGUGUAGCGGUGAAAUGCGUAGAUAUCGUAAGGAAGACCAGUGGCGAAGGCGGGUCUCUGGGCAUCUCCUGACGCUGAGGUGCGAAAGCGUGGGGAGCAAACGGG
rnacentral:rRNA from 1 species